UGUUUUUAAACGCGCAAAUUGUUUGUUUUUCAGAAAACCGUGUACUGUACAUUGCUAAGUGGUUUACUUAGUACUUAAUACUAAAAUACAAAAUGGCGCUUUCCAGAUUAUUCGGGAAAAGCAAGAAGGAGCCAUCAAGUCCCUCAGGAUCACAUCAUUCCCCUGAUCUUUCGGAGAGAGAAGACGACAACUUUACCGUCA